AACAAACGCUGGCGGCGUGCCUAACACAUGCAAGUCGAACGAGAAAGUCGGUUUCGGCCGAUGAGUAAAGUGGCGCACGGGUGAGUAACGCGUGGAAUAAUCUACCCUUUAGUCCGGAAUAACUUGCCGAAAGGUGAACUAAUACCGGAUGACAUCCCGGGUUCUCCGGAAACCGGGAUCAAAGAAGGCCUCUGCUUGCAAGCUUUGCUGAAGGAUGAGUCCGCGUACCAUUAGCUAGUUGGUGGGGUAAUGGCCUACCAAGGUUAUGAUGGUUAGCUGGUCUGAGAGGAUGAUCAGCCACACUGGAACUGAAACACGGUCCAGACUCCUACGGGAGGCAGCAGUGAGGAAUAUUGCGCAAUGGGGGCAACCCUGACGCAGCAACGCCGCGUGAGUGAGGAAGGUUUUCGGAUUGUAAAGCUCUGUCGAGCGGAAAGAAAUGCACGAUGGCUAAUAUCCAUCAUGCUUGACGGUCCGCUAGGGAAGCACCGGCUAA
rnacentral:rRNA from 1 species